AAGAAAUAAAACUUUUACCUGUGAGUAUUAUAUGGAGUAAAUGCUGGAGAAUCAAUAUUUAAGAGAAAAAGAGAAUAGCAAUGGGCUCUUGGCUUGAGAUCCCUCACUGCUGUCCAGGUGACAGUGCUGCACCAUAUUUAGCAGUUCCAUAAAGUCUGCAGCUUCACAUUUACAAACGUCAAGGAAAAGUCAGAAAGCAAUACCAACAAUGCACAACAUUUGAAGUGGAGGCGGCCAAAAUUCCAGUCUUUCUUCACUAGGUUCACUGAAGGAUCAGAAGGAAUUUUCACCUCCUAGAUUGGAUUAUGUGCUCUGGGCAUGGCUUCCAACACAUGCCAAAAUGAAACCUGAGAACACAGCCUCCUUUCUAGUGCCUUCCUUUCUGCUGGAAGCUACUCUCCUCUGCAGAGUGGUGCUGUGCAACAGUACAGUCACCUUGUCACAAGAAGCAGCUCUCACGACUGAGCCUGAAUUGCCAAGUCCACCCAGUUGACAGAUUGUAAGCAAGCAAUAAGUCUGAGA